GGAAACUAACCCAGCAGGCGGAAACGUUUCUGAGAUAUUAGAGACAUCAGGCUGCUCCACAAUUUCCUCGGAAAAGUCGGACAACUUCAGACAAGAAAAUGAACAUAAGCACCGGGAGUCAAGUGACUCUAAGGUCAGACAGCCUGGGGAAGAAGAUUCGGUAUGUUCUACAUUUGUCCCCAGCACCUCUCUUCCAGCAGUUACACUGGAGAUUUCCAGAACUUCUACUGAAACAAACCCGGAGAACAGAAUUAAUCACGCACGAAAGUCUUUUCUGUUUGGGCAUUGAAAUUUUGCAAGCAAUUAGACAAAGAUAAGUACUAGGGUAAAAGUAGUAUACUUGUUUCUUAUGGAAUUUUGAUGAACAAAUUAAAAUAGAGAAACUGUCAAAUGAAAUGCCCCUCUCAGUAAAGCAUCUGCAGUGCUAAAACAGACAAGUAUCAAGUUUUGUAAUUUUUCUUCCUACAUAAACUAUGUUUAACGUUCUUGCAUUGGAUAAUAUUGUGAUGUAUGUCAAAUAUCCUGUGAUAUAUGUUUUAUAGUCUUGUGAUGUUUGUUUGAUAAUGUAUGUUUGAUAAUCUUGUGAUGUAUGUUUGAUGAUUGUGUGAUGUAUUUUCAAUAUCUUAUGAUGUAUCUUUAAUAUAUUGUUCUUAGAAGAAUUG